rnacentral:rRNA from 1 species
GACGAACGCUGGCGGCGUGCUUAACACAUGCAAGUCGAACGGAAAGGCCCUGCUUUUGUUGGGUGCUCGAGUGGCGAACGGGUGAGUAACCCGUGAGUAACCUGCCCUUGACUUUGGGAUAACUUCAGGAAACUGGGGCUAAUACCGGAUAGGAGCUCCUGCUGCAUGGUGGGGGUUGGAAAGUUUCGGCGGUUGGGGAUGGACUCGCGGCUUAUCAGCUUGUUGGUGGGGUAGUGGCUUACCAAGGCUUUGACGGGUAGCCGGCCUGAGAGGGUGACCGGCCACAUUGGGACUGAGAUACGGCCCAGACUCCUACGGGAGGCAGCAGUGGGGAAUAUUGCACAAUGGGCGGAAGCCUGAUGCAGCAACGCCGCGUGCGGGAUGACGGCCUUCGGGUUGUAAACCGCUUUCGCCUGUGACGAAGCGUGAGUGACGGUAAUGGGUAAAGAAGCACCGGCUAACUACGUG